rnacentral:rRNA from 1 species
AAGUCGUAACAAGGUUUCCGUAGGUUUGAGAUGGUUUGCCUACCGAAGCCCCCCGCAGCGACUGUAAAAAACUGCGCGGUCUACGUCCCCGAGAUGUAGGCAACACCGUCCAAGUGCUGAAAGGGCCCGGCGAAAGCCCGCGCCUAACCAGCAGCCAGCGCGUGGAACGCUGGUGCACAGAUCAAUCGACGGUGACCUUUUACGGUUAAAAUAUGACCGGUCCUAGGCCUCGUGGCUUUUGGAAGUGUCGGAACCUGCGGAAGGAUCAUUACCGAGAGACGGGGUCUAACCGGCCCCAACUCUUCACCCGUGUCUACAUACCUGUGUUGCUUUGGCGGGCCCCAGGCCUUUCUUGGGGGGUGCUUUGCUCCUCUGUGCCCGCCAACAGCCCCCAUUAAACCCUGUUAUCAGUGUCGUCCGAGUACCAAAACAAUUAUUAAAACUUUCAACAACGGAUCUCUUGGUUCUGGCAUCGAUGAAGAACGCAGCGAAAUGCGAUAAGUAAUGUGAAUUGCAGAAUUCCGUGAAUCAUCGAAUCUUUGAACGCACAUUGCGCCCUUUGGUAUUCCNAAGGGCAUGCCUGUUCGAGCGUCAUUGCAACCCUCAAGCACUGCUUGGUAUUGGGCUUCGUCCCCGCGACGGGCCUGGAACAUCGUGGCGGUCCAGUGAGACUUCAAGCGUAGCAAGAUUUUUAUCCCGCUUUGGAAGCUCUCGCUGCGAGCCAGCCAAACAACCCCUUCUACUUUCAAUGGUUGACCUCGGAUCAGGUAGGGAUACCCGCUGAACUUAAGCAUAUCAAUAAGCGGAGGAAAAGAAACCAACAGGGAUUGCCUCAGUAACGGCGAGUGAAGCGGCAACAGCUCAAAUUUGAAAUCUGGCCCUUUCGGGGUCCGAGUUGUAAUUUGUAGAGGGUGUUUCGGGCGAGGCGCCGGCCUAAGUUCCUUGGAACAGGACGUCAUAGAGGGUGAGAAUCCCGUAUGCGGCCGGUGACCGACUCCAUGUGAAACCCCUUCGACGAGUCGAGUUGUUUGGGAAUGCAGCUCAAAAUGGGUGGUAUAUUUCAUCUAAAGCUAAAUACUGGCCAGAGACCGAUAGCGCACAAGUAGAGUGAUCGAAAGAUGAAAAGCACUUUGGAAAGAGAGUUAAAAAGUACGUGAAAUUGUUGAAAGGGAAGUGCUUGCAACCAGACCCGUCUUCAGGUGAUCAGCCUCCGUUCUCGGGGGUGCACUCGCCUGGUUAUGGGCCAGCAUCGGUUUGGGCGGUUGGAUAAAGGCCAGAGGAACGUAGCUCCCUCCGGGGAGUGUUAAAGCCUCGGUGCCAUGCAGCCAGCCCGGACCGAGGAUCGCGCUUCGGCUAGGAUGCUGGCGUAAUGGUUGUAAGCGGCC